UCUUGCAAACUAAAGAUGGCGACCGGCGCACGGGUGAGUAACACGUAUCCAACCUGCCGAUAACUCGGGGAUAGCCUUUCGAAAGAAAGAUUAAUAUCCGAUAGUAUAUUAAAACCGCAUGGUUUUACUAUUAAAGAAUUUCGGUUAUCGAUGGGGAUGCGUUCCAUUAGUUUGUUGGCGGGUAACGGCCCACCAAGACUACGAUGGAUAGGGGUUCUGAGAGGAAGGUCCCCCACAUUGGAACUGAGACACGGUCCAA
rnacentral:rRNA from 1 species